AAUGGAAUGCCUGAAAAAGGAUUACUUUGAUAGAGUAAAUAAUACACAGCAGUGUUUUCAUUA
rnacentral:tRNA from 1 species